rnacentral:rRNA from 1 species
AUGGGAGUGGGCUGCAAAAGAAGUAGGUAGUUUAACCUUCGGGGGGACGCUUACCACUUUGUGGUUCAUGACUGGGGUGAAGUCGUAACAAGGUAGCGCUAGGGGAACCUGGCGCUGGAUCACCUCCUUAAACGAUGAU